rnacentral:rRNA from 1 species
UUGGAGGGCAAGUCUGGUGCCAGCAGCCGCGGUAAUUCCAGCUCCAAUAGCGUAUAUUAAAGUUGUUGCAGUUAAAAAGCUCGUAGUUGAAUUUCGGGAUCAGUACGCUGGUCGUGCCUUGGUAUGUACUGGUGUUACUGGUUCCUACCUUCUGACGAACCGUCAUGUCAUUAAUUUGGUGUGGCGGGAAAUCAGGACUGUUACUUUGAAAAAAUUAGAGUGUUUAAAGCAGGCUCGCGCUUGAAUACAUUAGCAUGGAAUAAUGAAAUAGGACGUUCGAUCCUAUUUUGUUGGUUUCUAGGAUUGACGUAAUGAUUAAUAGGGAUAGUUGGGGGCAUUAGUAUUCAAUUGUCAGAGGUGAAAUUCUUGGAUUUAUUGAAGACUAACUACUGCGAAAGCAUUUGCCAAGGAUGUUUUCAUUAAUCAAGAACGAAAGUUAGGGGAUCGAAGACGAUCAGAUACCGUCGUAGUCUUAACCAUAAACUAUGCCGACUAGGGAUCGGAUGAUGUUAAUUUUUUAAUGACUCAUUCGGCGCCUUACGGGAAAC